AUCCAAGCACAUGUAAGAAUUACCCAGUAAUCCCUCAGUCGCCCUGUUGUUAAUGUUGAGAGUAAGUAAUGUUUCAUGUUCUCUCUCUUUUAUAGACUAGAAUCUUUAUUUAAAAUACAUUUGUACAUGGAGAAAACUGUUGUAACUCAUGUUGUAAUAGGUAUUCAUGAUGUGUUAAUAAUAACUCGCUCAUCAAAUCGUGUUAAAACUAUUUUUUUUGAUAACUCGUGUACUAUUGAGAGUGUAGUGUUGCGCACUUCUAAUGGUUGUUUUAUAUAGGGAGAGAACGUCUGGAGUGAUCUGCAUGUGCUGAUAUUCUUUUUAUUUUCUGUUAAACAGGUAUGUUUCCGACUAGUUAUUUUGUGGUCUGAAAAAAUAUGUAAAACUGAUAAGUCUUUGCCUGUGUGUGUGCGUGUAGAGGAAAGAUAGAAAAAUACAAUUAGAAUCCGAGUAAAUAAGGAUGUGCAUUGUAAACUUUUAAUUUGUAGGAACAAAAGACAAAAUAAACCUGUAAUACCACUAUACGAUCUAAAAAAAGAAGAAAUUGUUUAUUGUUUUUUUUUUGUUUUUAUUUAAUUUACUGUGAAUUGGUACAUGUCUGAUUACUACAAGUAAACAAAUAAUUAGGAGUCGCCCUGUUGUUAAUGCUGAGGGGAGAGAACGUCUGGAGUGAUCUGCAUCUGCUGAUAUUCUUUUUAUUUUCUGUUAAAUAGCCACAAUAAACAGAGACUGAAUCAACACUCGUUAGUAUUCGUGUGGUUUAUGAAGCAGCGUAGAGAAAGAUAUCGUAGCAGCAGGAUCGUGUCUGCUACACUCACUGAACCCAGUAUUGUGCAGAUCGUUGUAUGUAAUCAUAUUUAUCUUUUUUCAGGGAUGCACAUAAAUAACAACCGGGAUCACUGGCAUCAGAACACCUGACAGUCAUGUGCUAUUGACUCUUAGCUUAGUUGACAUAAAUGUAGGUAAAUGCAGAAAAGGUAACCCAUUUUUCAAGCCCCUCAAAAAUUGAGGACUAAGUACAAGAGUUAAGAAAUAAGUAAUCCGGGCUGAAAUAAAUAAUGUAAGUGAGUGGUUUUCAUGGCCACAAAAGUUAUAUUUUCUUUUAAUUUAAUUUAAUAUUCCCAGAAAAACUGAUUUGCGAUGAAAAUGCUACGUUAAGAGAGAUUGCUGUGGUCACACAAAAUGAUUCUGGCGAACAUAUAUGUGUUAAAGCUGAACCUAUUUGAGGAACAUUGCUGCACAAUUUAAAAACAACAAGCUUUUCUUUGCAAUUCUCUUGCACAAAAUGCACAAGAUGAUAUCUCUUACAGGCUUACAAUAACAGGAUACUCUUCAAGCACAACAUGGGUAUGACCCAAGCAGCAACAAGUCUUCUGAUAACAGCACCCUAAAAAAGUACAAACAGUCAAAAAAUCCACAUUGUUUCUUUUUGGAAGCUUUGAGGCAUAAAGAAAUAGAUCAUGUUGCUUUAAGCUCAGCUUUUACUGGUAGCCAACCCUUGUGUAUUGUAUCAACAACUGCAUAUGCUUUCCAGAUUAAUUAGACUUGUUUUCAGCAGUUGAAGAACAAAUCUGCAAACCUCUCCAAAAACAGUGCUAAUUAGAGGUGCACUACAUGUCUCAAGAGCAACCAGUUGGCAUUGUAUGCAGAAUAUCCUUCUUGUGCAAAGUUCAGUGACGCAGGUAUUCACAAUUUGGUAUUUCCUAUGCAUGGUUCACCACUAACAUCUGAUUCCCACAGGUGAAGUGAAGUUCUGUGGCACAAAUCCUAGCUACUGCAUCCCUGCAUUUUGAUGGAAACAUUACUCCAUUUAAAUGAGAAUUAUUGAUGAAAAUAUAUACUACCAGGGUCCGCUUCUUUCAAAUUUCCACUGUGUCUCACUAAAACUAUGCUUGCAACUUUUAAUAUUUCUAAAAUAAAUAAACAGAAAUGCAUAACAGUCUCAGGCUGGUGUUGGCAAUCACCACUCCAUUCCACAGGUUUAACAGGUACAGUAUCAUGAAAUAACAAACAUGUUACUUUAGGACCUGGAUAGAUAAAACAUGGUGGAAACAAAGGUCUAGACAGAAAGUGCCAGUUUAGCCCUGGUCUAAUCAAAAUAAUACUGUACUGCUUAAGUAAUUAAAAUUGGUCAGUGCAGACAUAUUGUUACAGUACAUUUAUGGAUGAUUGUCAGGGAAUCAUAUUUAUUUGAUUGCUUUAGAACAUCCUAUAACUGUUGAUAUCUGUGGACAGGAUGGCUUUGUGGUGACUUCAGACCAGGAAGUGACAGACACUAGUACGAGCCGACCCGAGCUGAACCCAAGACAGAAGUGGAGUCCUGCUGGGAACGAGCUGAAACAUUGGACAUGGACUGGAUGAUUUAAAAAUGAAAUGUAUUAAUGAGAUGAUACGUGUUGUAACCAUUUGUAAUGUUUGAAUAAUCUUCAGUCUGUAACAAAUACUGUAAAGUGCUCUCUCUGUAAGAUCGUAUAACAGAAUCUGGUACAACUUGAUACACUGGCCGGCCUUGAGCAGUCUCUUAUUAAAAUUGGCACGAUUCCCAGAAUUUAGUACUAAAAUCUCUGUUAACACUUUUCAGCUUGACUACAGAAUAAUGCUGUACUAAUAGAUGUAUGUUAAUAUGCUUGUUUUAAAUGGUAUAGGUUGUUGCGAUAACAUGUAAUCAUAGUUAGUGGUAAUUAUAGUUUAAAUAAUAGUGUACUAUGAACAAUUUUUAUGUAUAAGAUCAUAUGAUUCACUUUGCUUAAUAUGAUAGCAUACCUGAAGCUGUUUUCUAUCAAGAUAAGCAUAGUUAAAAACUGAGUCCUAAUUCAAUGAAAAGAAUUGCUGUGUGCUUACAUUCAAGAAUUAUACUUUCCGAAUAUAAAGGAAAAAGGAGUUAGGAGUAUUCUUAAGGGAAAGAGAAAGACAGAAAGGGACUAAAGGAUCUCACUUUGAGUCGGUUUCUGCUUGUAAUUUAGCUUUAAAAUAAGUGGGUGAGUAAGAACAACCUAGAGUAAAAAGCAGCCUCUAAUUCAAGAAAAAUAAGCAUUUUAGAAGAUACACCACAGAAAGGGAACAGAAAAGUUAAAUAAAUUGUUAUUGCGAUAUUGCUGCUAUGCUGCUGCUAGCAGAAAGUAAUAAGGUUAGCAGCCAUACGCUAUAAGGAGUAAGGUACUAGUUUGACUCUGAAGUUAAAAGACGCAGCAUAAAAAGAAGUUGUGGUAAACAUACAAAAUAAAAGGAUUGAAUAAAUAAUGAAGAAUAAAAGCAGGAGAUAGGUUUUAGGAGAGUAAACUCUAUGUGACCUGUCUUCUUGAACUCUCUAUCAGCCUGCCCUUGGAGAAGAUUUGUAUUAGCCGAUGGAAGGCCUAUUUGGUGGGAAGAAGCCGGAAUUUUUUUAUCAGAAGGCUUAUAGUAUCAGGGGCCGGACUGCAAAAAUAGGGAGUUAGAACGGAUGGUCUUAGCACCUAAGAUAGUUAGUUGCCGGGCGGAACAAGCACGUAAGAUACAGGUGUAAGGAAAGUUCUAGGGAACAUUAAUCACUAUUAAACUUGGCAAGAAAAGAGGUGUCUCCAGCAAGCUGGUUUUAGCCAGUAUGUGUAUAGCUGAAAAAUACAGGGUCAUCUGGAUGUCAAUUAAGUUCAAGCUACCAGGGGCCAUAGGAGAAAAACAUUACAGCUUAACAGCUCAGUAAAAUAGUUAGGUUUUCCAUAAGGAGAAAACUCUACACUAAAAAGAUAUAAGAUGGAAGUUCCCUAUAAUACCUGCUAAACACACACCUGUAAUCAAUUAUAAUCAUUAUAACUAUAACUGCUAUAUUAUGAUAUAACUAUUGGUGUUGCAUAUAUUCAAACACCACUCUUUUUAUAAUACACACAAUUAUUGGUGCUUCAUAUAUUUAAACACCACUCCUUUUUAUAAUGCACCCAUAUUAAGUAGUGUAUCAAGGUAGCAAGGAUUUUGUGAACUCUGCUUCACCUAACUUUUCAGAUGAAGGAGGGGGGCCAAGAAUGAGUGGAUGAGAACAUGGGCUAGUGUUGAUUUGUUGGCAUAUGACUCCAAUUGAGUCUGAAGAGUUGGUUGAAUUCUUUAGAGAUUACUGUUUGCCAAGAGAUAAGGACUGUCCAUAUAGAUUGAUGACUGGAUCUAAUUGGGGCUUCCCAUUGCUUUCAAUGGGACGAAAAUUGUAUAAAAACCCUGAGCCGAUCACACUGAGACCACCACAAUCAAGCUUGGCAGAGCUACGUGGUCCAUCCUUUGCAGAUCUCCACAAGGCAGUCCUUCUCUUUUGUUCACGCUACUCUCCCUUAUAAUAAGAGGUAAGCACAUUAAUGGUAAUAUUGUAUCUUGCAUGUAUUGGUUAUAUUGCUAUGAGGUUUUGAAACUAUGUUUUAGUAUUGAGAGUGUUAUAUUGAAUGUGCUAAAACAUAGCAGUGGGUGCUUGUAGGCUUUGUGCUUAGCCAGCCUGAGGGCUGCACUGAAUACAUAUAAUUGUAUUAUGUUAUUGACGUAUUAAAUGCUGAAGCUUGUAAUAAACUUAGGAUUGCUAAUUAUUGUUACAUGUUUUGGGGUUUUAGUGGUAUGCGCAAACUACUAAACCAAUAUUAAAGGCAUUAUAAUAAAACGAAGGAGCGCUGAUGUUGCUCUGAUUCGUAAAACUUCAAAUAAAUGAGUCU